GCCUUCAGCGGUACCACCCUACAUGCACCUGAUCUUGUUCUGUGUUGGAAGCUAAGCAGGGUUGGGCCUGGUUAUGAAUGGGAGGAAGCAGAAGGAG
rnacentral:rRNA from 14 species